rnacentral:rRNA from 1 species
CUAAGGCUCCAGAGGAAGCCACGGCUAACUCUGUGCCAGCAGCCGCGGUAAUACAGAGGCGGCAAGCGUUGUUCGGAAUUACUGGGCGUAAAGAGCACGUAGGCGGCCAUGCAAGUCAGUUGUGAAAGCCUUCCGCUUAACGGAAGAAUGCCAGCUGAUACUACAGGGCUUGAGUACGGGAGGGGAGAGUGGAACUUCUGGUGGAGCGGUGAAAUGCGUAGAUAUCAGAAGGAACGCCGGCGGCGAAAGCGACUCUCAGGCCCGAAACUGACGCUGAGUGUGCGAAAGCUAGGGGAGCAAACGGGAUUAGAUACCCCGGUAGUCCUAGCCGUAAA